rnacentral:rRNA from 1 species
CGGGUGAGUAAUGCUUGGGAAUCUGACUUAUGAGGGGGAUAACUACGGGAAACUGUAGCUAAUACCGCGUAAUAUCGAAAGAUUAGAGUGUGGGACCUUCGGGCCACAUGCCAUAGGAUGAGCCCAAGUGGGAUUAGGUAGUUGGUGAGGUAAAGGCUCACCAAGCCGACGAUCUCUAGCUGGUCUGAGAGGAUGACCAGCCACACUGGGACUGAGACACGGCCCAG